UCAGUUCAUCAGGUCAAACAAGACGCAAAAUCUGUAUGUUUGUUGUUGUUGUUUUAUUUUAAUCUUCUGCCUGACAAAAAUCAUAUGUCUAAUUGCUUAAAAAAUAAUAGAUCAACAAUGCACAUGAAAGUAGUAUUAUCUAAUUUAACUAUUUACUUUGAUGUUUUAUUGAAGUUCAAAUAUGAUUUAACAUGACUGAAUCAUAAGAACUGCAUACUUUUGAUGCCUACAUUACUUUUAUUAGACUAAGUCUUUAUAAGCGUCAAAUCAGGUAGAAACUGUAGUUUUAUUUUAUUUAUUUAAUUUUUACUUUAGCAUCAGCACUCAAAGUCCUCUGAAAACAUUUGACGAGAGUGUAGAUUGCAUGUUGUUUGACUGUUGGUGUGAAUGACAAAGGAAAUAAUCCAGCGAUGCUCAUUAUUUCUCCUCUGCUUUCUAUCUCUUCUCAUCCUGUCCUUUCUGGCUGCAGCUAUUCAACCCUCGUCUUCCUGAUUACCUGCUACCUGCUUGAACGGCCCGUCUCCCCCCUCCAGUCUGUCGACGACAGUGAGACAUCACUGCUCCAGGAAUUGGUGCUGACACCAUGCCAGAAAGAGACUGGAGCAUUCCUGACAGUACGCUGUCCACUCCCCAAAUCUCGCUUGGCCGUCUAGUCCAUACAGCUGACAAUGCAUGCCCAGUUUAAUGGUCAUUUUCUCUUGAAGUCAGAGGCACAGCGCCUGAUUCAAAGCUGCCGUUCGCAACCAAGUGCCUGAGCCACCAUGGACUGAACCAUAGACAAGUGAAAGCGAGACAACGUCACAUGCAUCACAGACAACACAGUAAAGCAAGAGGAUCUUAACCAGCAAGAGACCAUGAACAUAAUUGGACCCAC